rnacentral:rRNA from 1 species
UACGUAGGGCGCAAGCGUUAACCGGAAUUAUUGGGCGUAAAGAGCUCGUAGGCGGUUUGUCGCGUCUGCCGUGAAAGUCCGGGGCUCAACUCCGGAUCUGCGGUGGGUACGGGCAGACUAGAGUGAUGUAGGGGAGACUGGAAUUCCUGGUGUAGCGGUGAAAUGCGCAGAUAUCAGGAGGAACACCUGCGGCGAAGGCGGGUUGCUGGGCUGACACUGACGCUGAUGCGCGAAAGCCAGGGGAGCGAACGGG